UCACCUGUGCCUAUUUGAAUUCACGAGAAAUUAGUUCUCAUGAAUUCUCUCCCAUGCAGAAGCCUUCUCACGCCCCUUCUUUGUGCGCCAUUUGGGUGGAUAAAUAUGGUUGGUUGGCCAUUCAAAUUCAAAUGAAGUUUGAAUUUGAAUGGGCAACAAAUCCCAUGCGCCACCCCUUUCUUUUGUGCGCCACUUAUUCUACACGAGAAAAGGUUUCUCGUGAAAACUCUCCAUGCACAAAGAAGCCCAUGCCCCUCUC
rnacentral:lncRNA from 1 species